GCUUGUCUCAAAGAUUAAGCCAUGCAUGUCUAAGUAUAAACUGCUUAUACUGUGAAACUGCGAAUGGCUCAUUAAAUCAGUUAUAGUUUAUUUGAUGGUACCUACUACUCGGAUAACCGUAGUAAUUCUAGAGCUAAUACGUGCGCACAACCCGACUUCUGGAAGGGUCGUAUUUAUUAGAUUGAAACCAAUGCGGGUUCCCCGGUAUUUGGUGAUUCAUAAUAACUUUCGGAUCGACUUCGGUCGAUGCAUCAUUCAAGUUUCUGCCCUAUCAGCUUUGGAUGGUAGGGUAUUGGCCUACCAUGGCUUUAACGGGUAACGGAGAAUUAGGGUUCGAUUCCGGAGAGGGAGCCUGAGAAACGGCUACCACAUCUAAGGAAGGCAGCAGG
rnacentral:rRNA from 1 species